UAGUGGCGGACGGGUGAGUAACACGUGGGAAUGUGCCUUUAGGUUCGGAAUAACUCAGGGAAACUUGAGCUAAUACCGAAUGUGCCCUUCGGGGAAAGAUUUAUCGCCUUUAGAGCAGCCCGCGUCUGAUUAGCUUGUUGGUGAGGUAAAGGCUCACCAAGGCGACGAUCAGUAGCUGGUCUGAGAGGAUGGCCAGCCACACUGGGACUGAGACACGGCCCAG
rnacentral:rRNA from 1 species